ACACUCCUGCGGGAGGCAGCAGUGGGGAAUUUUGGACAAUGGGCGAAAGCCUGAUCCAGCCAUGCCGCGUGCAGGAUGAAGGCCUUCGGGUUGUAAACUGCUUUUGUACGGAACGAAACGGCCUUUUCUAAUAAAGAGGGCUAAUGACGGUACCGUAAGAAUAAGCACCGGCUAACUACGUGCCAGCAGCCGCGGUAAUACGUAGGGUGCAAGCGUUAAUCGGAAUUACUGGGCGUAAAGCGUGCGCAGGCGGUUAUGUAAGACAGUUGUGAAAUCCCCGGGCUCAACCUGGGAACUGCAUCUGUGACUGCAUAGCUAGAGUACGGUAGAGGGGGAUGGAAUUCCGCGUGUAGCAGUGAAAUGCGUAGAUAUGCGGAGGAACACCGAUGGCGAAGGCAAUCCCCUGGACCUGUACUGACGCUCAUGCACGAAAGCGUGGGGAGCAAACAGGAUUAGAUACCCUAGUAGUCCCAUGA
rnacentral:rRNA from 1 species